rnacentral:rRNA from 1 species
AUUGAACGCUGGCGGCAUGCCUAACACAUGCAAGUCAACGGUAACGCGGAGAGCUUGCUCUCUGGCGACGAGUGGCGGACGGGUGAGUAACACGUAGGCAACCUGCCUGUAAGACUGGGAUAACUCCGGGAAACCGGUGCUAAUACCAGAUAGAAUCUUAGACCUCCUGGUCUUUGAUGGAAAGGCCUUGUGCCACUUACAGAUGGGCCUGCGGCGCAUUAGCUAGUUGGUGGGUAACGGCCUACCAAGGCGACGAUGCGUAGCCGACCUGAGAGGGUGAUCGGCCACACUGGGACUGAGACACGGCCCAGACUCCUACGGGAGGCAGCAGUAGGGAAUCUUCCGCAAUGGACGAAAGUCUGACGGAGCAACGCCGCGUGAGUGAUGAAGGCUUUCGGGUCGUAAAACUCUGUUGUUAGGGAAGAACAUCCGGGAUAACCUCCCGGUCUGACGGUACCUAACGAGGAAGCCCCGGCUAACUACGUG